GGGUUGUGAGGUUAAGCGACUAAGCGUACACGGUGGAUGCCCUGGCAGUCAGAGGCGAUGAAGGACGUGCUAAUCUGCGAAAAGCGACGGCGAGGUGAUAUGAACCCUUGACCCGUCGAUGUCCGAAUGGGGAAACCCAGUGUGUUCCGACACACUAUCGUUAACUGAAUACAUAGGUUAACGAGGCGAACCGGGGGAACUGAAACAUCUAAGUACCCCGAGGAAAAGAAAUCAACCGAGAUUCCCCCAGUAGCGGCGAGCGAACGGGGAGCAGCCCGGAGUCUGAAUCAGCUUGUGUGUUAGUGGAACGGUCUGGAAAGUCCGACGGUACAGGGUGAUAGUCCCGUACACGAAAAUGCACAUGCUGUGAACUCGAAGAGUAGGGCGGGACACGUGGUAUCCUGUCUGAAUAUGGGGGGACCAUCCUCCAAGGCUAAAUACUCCUGACUGACCGAUAGUGAACCAGUACCGUGAGGGAAAGGCGAAAAGAAC
rnacentral:rRNA from 1 species